AUCCAGAUGACGAGUCCCAAACAGGACGAAACGCGUGUCCUGGAU
rfam:Schistosoma haematobium scaffold575_62, whole genome shotgun sequence.